AAUGAACGUCGGCGGCAUGGAUUAGGCAUGCAAGUCGAGCGAGAAGAGUUUUGAAGCUUGCUUUAGAACUCGGACAGCGGCGAAAGGGAGAGUAACGCGUAGUUAUGUGCCCUAGGGUCCGGAAUAGCCACGGGAAACUGUGGGUAAUGCCGGAUAAUCUCCCUGGCACAAAGGUGUGAUUCCGCCCUAGGAGCAGACUGCGUCCUAGUAGCUAGUUGGUGGGGUAAUGGCCUACCAAGGCAACGAUGGGGAGCGGGUGUGAGAGCAUGACCCGGCUAACUGGGACUGAGACACUGCCCAGACACCUAUGGGUGGGUGCAGUCGAGAAUCUUCGGCAAUGGGCGAAAGCCUGACCGAGCGAUGCCGCGUGCGGGAUGAAGGCCCUCGGGUUGUAAUCCGCUGUCGUAGGGGAGGAAGGUUCCGUGAAGAGCGGAAUUUGACCUAUCCUAGGAGGAAGUACGGGCUAAGUUCGUGCCAGCCGCCGCCGUAA
rnacentral:rRNA from 1 species